AAUGCUACGGUGUGGAAACUCGGUAAGAAUAAUUCAUUAAAAAAAAGUGCUGGAAUUCGAGAGAAGCUGCGAGAAGAAGAGACAGUCUGGCUGGGCGAGGGAGCUGCAAGGCGCCGCACCGCACGACAGCCUCGCUGGGGUUCAAGGUGCGGAUUGAAAACGGAGAGCCCCCUAUUGACCUGUGUGCCACGGCUGCAGCAGUAUCUUUGGAUGCAAUUGUCGUAAGAGGAUUAGUGGGCUGAAGGUUUGCAAACUAAAGGGAAAAGGUUGCUGGUCUUCUCCUGGAAGCUGGUUUCAGGUGGUGGCUUAGAGUUCUUCAUGUUUUUAAUCUAGCACCAUUUGAAAUCAGUGUUCUUGGAGCAAGAAAAACAUCAAUCAGCCUGAGGAGAGAGGAGCGCUGGAGACUGAGAUGAACUGCAACAUCAGUCAGCCUGACGAGAGAGGGGCUGAGAUGAACGAAGAUGAACUGCACACUCAUGCAUGGGAGCGGGCUGUCACAAGAAGCCCUGCACUUUAUACAGGAGAGCCAGGUUGUUUUGUAGUAAGUUUUGUAGUAACUUUUCCCAUGCCUUUUGCACGGUUAUACUAUGCACUUACCAUAGUAUGUCAUGUUUUGCCAUAUCUCUAGGCUUUAUGUUGCUUACAUAGCUAUGCUUUAUUCAUGAUAUUUCUGUAGUGAACUUUUACAUCUGAAAAAGCUGGCAAAGGUACAUUAAUUUCUAAGGUAAUGUGAUUGUGAGGGCGGGACUCCAUACAUGUAGUUAAAAGUUUAUGGAGGAAGACAGAAAUAUCAUUUAAUCAAAAUUAUUAUGCUGCCAAGCUUCAGUUUCAAAACUUUGUAAGUGCAGAGUCCUGAGUCUUUUCUGGGUUGAGAAACAGUUUGCAAUGCAGACAUAACUGGAAGCCCCAUAUAUGCGGCACAUAAUGAUGUUGUUCAUGUUGUGCAUGCUCUCUCCCACCCCACAGCACCCAUGGACUUUACUCUGAGCCCUCUUCCCAAGGUUGACCGAUUUCUUUUGGUGUUCAGAGUCAUCAUCAGUUUCUAGCACCAUUUGAAAUCGGUUACAGUGUAGGAGGUAAAGCAGCAACAAACAAACAAACAAAAAUAAAAACCUGCAAACAAAUCUAUUGCAUUGCAUGUAGUUCGUUGUUGCUGAGCUGAUUCAUGUGUUAUUUUUUAGGUGUUUUUGAUAUUGUUCAGUAUGUCAAAAGCUCAAUAAAAAUUAUAUUAAAAAAAAAAAAAAAAAA